AAUAGAUACCCAGGUAGUCCACCCCGUAAACGUUGGGAACUAGUUGUGGGGUCCUUUCCACGGAUUCCGUGACGCAGCUAACGCAUUAAGUUCCCCGCCUGGGGAGUACGGCCGCAAGGCUAAAACUCAAAGGAAUUGACGGGGACCCGCACAAGCGGCGGAGCAUGCGGAUUAAUUCGAUGCAACGCGAAGAACCUUACCAAGGCUUGACAUACACCAGAACACCCUGGAAACAGGGGACUCUUUGGACACUGGUGAACAGGUGGUGCAUGGUUGUCGUCAGCUCGUGUCGUGAGAUGUUGGGUUAAGUCCCGCAACGAGCGCAACCCUCGUUCUAUGUUGCCAGCACGUUAUGGUGGGAACUCAUGGGAUACUGCCGGGGUCAACUCGGAGGAAGGUGGGGAUGACGUCAAAUCAUCAUGCCCCUUAUGUCUUGGGCUUCACGCAUGCUACAAUGGCCGGUACAAUGGGCUGCGAUACCGUAAGGUGGAGCGAAUCCCAAAAAGCCGGUCCCAGUUCGGAUUGAGGUCUGCAACUCGA
rnacentral:rRNA from 1 species